rnacentral:misc_RNA from 1 species
GUCCUCUUCAAGUGGAGCCUGUCUCAAUCAUGGAUGGAGAUGCCUUCCAUGGAAGGAACAUGUUAACUGAGAAGCUUGAGCAUUCUGUCCAGGACCAUAAUGGCAAGGAGGUGUUAAACUGCAUAGGCUCAAAUCCUCUUGAUUAUAAUACCCCUUGUCAAGACACUAUAAAGCGUUAUUCAUUAUAUUGUGAUAAACACAUCCCAAGUUGGCUUAAACGUGCAAGGAAUGGUAAAAG